CCCCUAGACGUUCUGGGCUGCACGUGCACUACAAUAAUACGCACAGCGAGUAUCACCGAGCUCGAAAGGGCAAGGUAAACAAUAGAAAAGGUACUGUAAUGGUUAUAGAUCCUUGUAAUUAUUGAUCUUCAACGAGGAAUUCCUAGUAAGUAUGUGUCAUCAUCACGCACUGAUUACGUCCCUGCCCUUUGUACACACCGCCCGUCGCUCCUACCGAUUGGGUGAGCCGAUGAAACUCUCGGAUGUAGGCUAUUCAUAGCCCGCAGAAGAGAUUUGAAUCGUAGCGCUUAGAGGAAGGAGAAGUCGUAACA
rnacentral:rRNA from 1 species